rnacentral:lncRNA from 1 species
CACCGCUUAUUCGAGUUAGUACAGGAAAAAGAGCCAGAUAAAAUUACGAAUUUUCGUAAACAUGGUUUUUCUAUUUAGUCGGUUCGAGCACGCUCAUUAAACUAAAGAGUUCAUUUUCCUAUUUCCUCAUUCAAGCACUAGAAAAACAAGAGGAAUUUCAAGCCCCGAAGGAAAGAUGAUGGAAACAAUGCACAUCGACCAAGUAGCGACC